rnacentral:rRNA from 1 species
AUUGAACGCUGGCGGCAGGCCUAACACAUGCAAGUCGGACGAGCGGCGGACGGGUGAGUAAUGUAUGGGGAACUGCCUGAUGGAGGGGGAUAACUACUGGAAACGGUAGCUAAUACCGCAUACCAUCGGAUGUACCCAGAUGGGAUUAGCUAGUAGGUGGGGUAACGGCUCACCUAGGCGACGAUCCCUAGCUGGUCUGAGAGGAUGACCAGCAACACUGGGACUGAGACACGGUCCAGACUCCUACGGGAGGCAGCAGUGGGGAAUAUUGCACAAUGGGCGCAAGCCUGAUGCAGCCAUGCCGCGUGUAUGAAGAAGGCCCUAGGGUUGUAAAGUACUUUCAGCGGGGAGGCGUUACCCGCAGAAGAAGCACCGGCUAACUCCGUGCCAGCAGCCGCGGUAAUAC